AAAAUACUAUAUAAUAGGUGACUACCCAAGAUUAGUACGAUCAGUUGUUAGUGUACUUGAACCUGUUCGGUUGUGAUUAUUUUUGCUAAUUUCAAAUUAAACGUAUUUUGAAAUCAUGAAGGCUAUUGUUGCUGUUUAUUUCGCUCUAGUGGCUCUCUGUGUCGCCAUCAAUUUCGUAGAAUGUACAAUUUGCGCGAAGGAUCUCCGUUCUGGUGGUCCUCAAAACUUUAACAGCAAGGCUGCAAUGGAGGCUGAAAACAGACGGGGUGGACGAUAUGUUUUUGUGCACAAUGGAGCUUGCUAGAAACCGUUGAAAAUAUUCCGUUACGUUAUCAGUCAUCACUUAUCAACAAAUAAAAAUAGAAAAAACAGAUUGGAAAACUAAACCCAAACCUUCAAUAGAAAUUUUGUUCCAUGUAAAAUGUAAAUAUUAAUAAUAAAUUCAAUUUUUUAAUUAA